rnacentral:rRNA from 1 species
UACGUAGGGGGCGAGCGUUAUCCGGAUUCACUGGGUGUAAAGGGAGCGUAGACGGCCAUGCAAGCCAGGGGUGAAAGCCCGGGGCCCAACCCCGGGACUGCCCUUGGAACUGCAUGGCUGGAGUGCGGGAGGGGCAGGCGGAAUUCCUGGUGUAGCGGUGAAAUGCGUAGAUAUCAGGAGGAACACCAGUGGCGAAGGCGGCCUACUGGACGGUGACUGACGCUGAGGCUCGAAAGCGUGGGGAGCAAACAGG